CAAUGAUGUUGUGCGUUCUCCUAUCAGAUUGCACAACAUCAUUGUCAACGUUGCCAACUCGCCGUGUGAGCAAGAAGGGUCCUUGCCACUUGAGCAAAGGAUUCCAUGCUUGAUUGUUGGCUUGUAUGCUCCUCCUCCUCCUCCUCUUCCUCCUCCUCCCCCACCUAGGCGAUGAAAGGGAGUUUGUUGUCAUUGAUGAGAAGAACUUUCACCAUAAAAGAAAGAGAGAGCUGCCGGACAUUGCCCACCUGUGGAAUUGACACAGACUUCACCCCAGUAGGAACGCAGUUUCCCCAGGUGGACAACCACAACUGAUGUACAGCCUUCCCCAGCUGUUUGGUCUACAUCAAGGCAGUAUCCCAUUAGCAGAUACAGGCUUGUAGAGAGGAAUGCCUGGCAAGAGGUCCACAUUCAUGUGACUGUUUUUGACAUUUGUUGCCUUGCAAUGUCAGAGGUAUGUGUUUAAAGCCUUGAUUAUGCUGACAAUGUAUCUGUGGGCUUUGUCAAAAAAAACUAAAUCAUUUUGGCCCUAUUAUUACUUUGAUUCAGCCAUUUACCUGAUUUAUUAAGGAACCAACUGGUAGCAACAGUGCCCAAAUCUUUUGGAUAUAAUGUUAAAAUUCAAAC